UAUUUAAAUAGAUUUAACUAUUAAAUUAUUUUUAUAUAAUUUUUAUUUAAUUAAUAAUUAGAUUUAUAAAACUAUAUAAAAAUAUAAAAAAAUAAAAUUUAUUAUAAAAAUAUUUUUAUAUCCGCAGCAUCGCGCGGGUAUUUCACUAGUAUUAGAUUAUAUUAUAUUUGGCAAUAUUAUUGUCACGUUUGGGCUCCAGCGGAAGCCUGCUCGACGCAUACACAGACUCACCGUAUACAUCAAGCACCCCCGGUGCACAUAAGGUGUCUACAAUAACUAUAGAAGGAAGUAGGAAAAUCCUAAACAUGAUGAUCGGAGCAAGUACAUAAAUCUACUGCAUAAGGAAGUCUAGUACAUAUACACAAUCACAAGAUAUUGUAUGAACAAAAAGUUCUAAUUCUCAAUUUUUAAUUUUCAAAUUUAAUUUUUAAAUUUUAAGUUUCAAAUUUUAAAUUUGAAAUUUCAUUGAAAUUUUAAAUUUUAAAUUUUUACUUUUGAUUUUAAAAUUUAGGGAAAUCUCGUGAAAUUGCACAAUGCGCAUCCAAAAAAUUUAAAAAUUGAAUCCGUGGAUUUUUUUAGAGUUAAAGGAUUCUCUAUUUUAUUUGGACCAAAAUCACAAUUUAUAAAUUCCGCGAAGAUUUUUUUACCGUGCAUCCAAACAGGCCAUGAACUAGGGAUGUCAAUAGGCAUGGAUACCCGAAAUAUUACCCGAACCUGAACCCGAACGGAACGGAUUUACCCGAGCUAAACGGAUAUAAAUUUGGUUAUGGGUAUAGAAAAUGAAAACCGGACGGAUAUGAAUACGGAUAUGAAUUUUGUAUUUACCCGAUCCGAAUCCGAACCCGACCCGAACCUGAACCCAAACCCAAACCCGAAUAAAUUAUAUAUAUAAAUACUUUAUUUUUAUUUAUUUAUAUAAUAUAUAAAAUAUUUAAUAAUUUUUAUCUCUUAGAUCUUCAUUCAACAGUAUGAAUUUUUAAAAUCCGCUGGGUUCGGGUUCGGGUCCGAGUUCGGAUUUCAGGUUUUUAGUCAGGUACGGAUAUGGGUAUGAAUUUUUAAAAUCUGCCGGAUUCGGGUCCGAAUAUGGAUUUUAAUUUAGUUUUCGGGUUCGGGUUCGGAUUCGGAUUUUUAAAAAU
rnacentral:lncRNA from 1 species